AUGUAGCAAUACAUCACCGGCGGACGGGUGCGUAAAAAAGGAAUAUACCUUUCGGUACGGAACAACUGCGGGAAACUGCAUCUAAUACCGUAUACGUCCUUACGGAGAAAGAUUUAUCGCCGAAGGAUUAGCCCGCGUUCGAUUAGCUAGUUGGUGAGGUAAUGGCUCACCAAGGCGACGAUCGAUAGCUGUUCUGAGAGGAAGAUCAGCCACACUGGGACUGAGACACGGCCCAGACUCCUACGGGAGGCAGCAGUUGGGAAUCUUGGACAAUGGGGGAAACCCUGAUCCAGCCAUGCCGCGUGAGUGAUGAAGGCCUUCGGGUUGUAAAGCUCUUUUACCCGGGAAGAUAAUGACUGUACCGGGAGAAUAAGCUCCGGCUAUCUUCUUUUCAGCAGCCGCGGUAAUACGAAGGGGGCUAGCGUUGUUCGGAAUUACUGGGCGUAAAGCGUGCGCAGGCGGCUUCCCAAGUCAGUGGUGAAAGCCCGGAGCUCAACUCCGGAACUGCCAUUGAAACUGUGAAGCUCGAGGACGAGAGAGGUGAGUGGAAUUCCCAGUGUAGAGGUGAAAUUCGUAGAUAUUGGGAAGAACACCGGUGGCGAAGGCGGCUCACUGGCUCGUUUCUGACGCUCAUGCACGACAGCGUGGCUAUCACGCAAGGAUUAGAUACCCUGGUAGUCCACGCCGUAAAUUUUUUGUGCUUCCCAUUGGGCAGCUUGCCUGUUUCAGUGGCUCCACUAACGCAAUUAAGCACUCCCGCCU
rnacentral:rRNA from 1 species